rnacentral:rRNA from 1 species
UUGAACGCUGGCGGCAGGCCUAACACAGGAAAGUCGAGCGGUUGAGAGUAGCUUGCUACUUGAUGCAGCGGCGGACGGGUGAGUAACGCGUGGGAAUCUGCCCAGUAGGGGGGGACAACAGCCGGAAACGGCUGAUAAUACCGCAUACGCCCUACGGGGGAAAGGGGGGGAUCUUCGGACCUCUCGCUAUUGGAUGAGCCCGCGUCGGAUUAGCUAGUUGGUAGGGUAAAGGCCUACCAAGGCUACGAUCCGUAACUGGUAUGAGAGGAUGGUCAGUCACACUGGAACUGAGACACGGUCCAGACACCUACGGGAGGCAGCAGUGGGUAAUAUUGGACAAUGGGGGAAACCCUGAUCCAGCCGUGCCGCGUGUGUGAAGAAGGCCUUAGGGUUGUAAAGCACUUUCAGUGGGGAGAAAGGUUUGUCACCUAAUACGUGAUGAAAUUGAUGUUACCCACAGAAGAAGCACCGGCUAACUCCGUGCCAGCCGCCGCCGUAAAAC